rnacentral:rRNA from 1 species
GAUGAACGCUGGCGGCGUGCCUAAUACAUGCAAGUCGAGCGAAGCGGGGACGGGUGAGUAACACGUGGAUAACCUCCUAUAAGACUGGGAUAACUUCGGGAAACCGGAGCUAAACCGGCUCCUUAUUGCUGGAUCUGCGCUGGAUUAGCUGUUUGGUAAGGUAACGGCUUACCAAGGCAACGAUGCAUAGCUGACCUGAGAGGGUGAUCGGCCACACUGGAACUGAGACACGGUCCAGACUCCUACGGGAGGCAGCAGUAGGGAAUCUUCCGCAAUGGGCGAAAGCCUGACGGAGCAACGCCGCGUGAGUGAUGAAGGUCUUCGGAUCGUAAAACUCUGUUAGUAGGGAAGCGGUACCUAAUCAGAAAGCCACGGCUAACUACGUGCCAGCAGCCGCGGUAAUUC